GAUGAACGCUGGCGGCGUGCCUAAUACAUGCAAGUCGAGCGAACAGACGAGGAGCUUGCUCCUUUGACGUUAGCGGCGGACGGGUGAGUAACACGUAGGUAACCUACCUAUAAGACUGGGAUAACUUCGGGAAACCGGAGCUAAUACCGGAUAAUAUUUCGAACCGCAUGGUUCGAUAGUGAAAGAUGGCUUUGCUAUCACUUCUAGAUGGACCUGCGCCGUAUUAGCUAGUUGGUAAGGUAACGGCUUACCAAGGCAACGAUACGUAGCCGACCUGAGAGGGGGAUCGGCCACACUGGAACUGAGACACGGUCCAGACUCCUACGGGAGGCAGCAGUAGGGAAUCUUCCGCAAUGGGCGAAAGCCUGACGGAGCAACGCCGCGUGAGUGAUGAAGGUCUUCGGAUCGUAAAACUCUGUUAUUAGGGAAGAACAAACGUGUAAGUAACUGUGCACGUCUUGACGGUACCUAAUCAGAAAGCCACGGCUAACUACGUG
rnacentral:rRNA from 1 species